CGGCAUAUACAUGCAAGUUGAACGAGAUUAGUUUUAGCAAUAGAACUUUUUUAGUGGCGCACGUGUGCGUAACGCGUAUGCAACCUACCUUAAACAGGGGAAUAGCCUCUCGAAAGAGAGAUUAAUACCGCAUAAUAUAUAUUUGGAGCAUUCUAGAUAUAUUAAACCUACGGGGGUUUAAGAUGGGCAUGCGUGACAUUAGCUAGUUGGUGAGGUAAUGGCUCACCAAGGCAACGAUGUCUAGGGGGUCUGAGAGGAUGUCCCCCCACACUGGUACUGAGACACGGACCAGACUCCUACGGGAGGCAGCAGUAGGGAAUAUUGGUCAAUGGAGGCAACUCUGAACCAGCCAUGCCGCGUGCAGGACUAAGGCCCUAUGGGUCGUAAACUGCUUUUGAACGGGAAGAAAUGUAUCUACGUGUAGAUAUUUGACGGUACCGUUAGAAUAAGGAUCGGCUAACUUCGUGCCAGCAGCCGCGGUAAUACGAAGGAUCCAAGCGUUGUCCGGAUUUACUGGGUUUAAAGGGUGCGUAGGCGGACUUAUAAGUCAGUGGUGAAAGCCUUCAGCUUAACUGAAGAACUGCCAUUGAAACUGUAAGUCUCGAGUUCGGUUGAGGUCAUUGGAAUGUAACAUGUAGCGGUGAAAUGCAUAGAUAUGUUACAGAACACCAAUUGCGAAGGCAGAUGACUAAACCGAAACUGACGCUGAGGCACGAAAGCGUGGGGAUCAAACAGGAUUAGAUACCCUGGUAGUCCACGCCCUAAACGUUGAAUACUCGACCUUAGCGAUAUACAGUUAGGGUCCAAGCGAAAGCGUUAAGUAUUCCACCUGGGAAGUACGUUCGCAAGAAUGAAA
rnacentral:rRNA from 1 species